UUUACCUGAGAGGGUGGGACAAGUUCAUAACAUACAGCAGCUUCCCUCAGGCAGAGAACAGCAAGAGAUUUCUAUCUCUAGUAGUGAAUUAGUUUGUCAAUCUAGCUGAAGGGGGUGGGGAAGAUGGGCAGAGUGAGAAGGAGCAAGUGAAAAAGGAUUGGGGAAGUGAGUCCAAACUACAACCGUGAGGCUGCCCUGUUUGCCUUACCCCAUUAAUUAAAAUAAUUCAGCUACCGAGCAAUCCUACAGGGAAAUAUUCUGUACGGAGGAUAAGGAGAGACCAUGAGAGCUACGAAGGGAUCUCAACUGUUCAUUUUGAGUGUGGUUCUGGUGACUGCCCAGGCACUCACAGUGAACACACGUGUCAAGGAAGUAAAGGUAGCACAAGGAACUAACGCCACCCUCCCAUGUGAAUUCCAGACCUCUGCUGCCACCAGCAACGCAGACUUCGCUGCCUGGAGCAAAAUAUCUCCGUUGGAAGAUGUUGUCACAAGGUAUUUUGAUGGCUUUGCGCACUAUGGUCAGGGUUACAAAGGCCGUCUGCAAUUCCAUGGCACUGCAGUCACAGAUGUCAGCAUCACCCUCCAGGGGGUGACCAUGGCAGACAAUGGAACUUACAAAUGCACUGUCCAAGUGCGCGAAGAUCUCCCCCAUGCCUCUGCAGAGAUAGAUCUUUUGGUCCUUGUGGCUCCAUCCAAGCCGGAGUGUAAAGUCAUAGGGACACCAGAAUACGGACAGACCAUCAACCUGACCUGCAACUCUCAACAGGGGUCUCCAAAACCUGAGUAUACCUGGCAAAGCUUCAGCGUACUGAACCAGCCCCGACCACUGGUGUCAGCAUCAGGACAACAGAUAACUCUGAAGAACAUCUCUGCAGACACCUCCGGCUUUUACAUUUGCACUGCCACUAACAGCGUUGGACAGGAGUUCUGCAACAUGACAGUCUCCAUUGUACCUCCAUCCAUGAACAUUGCCCUCUAUGCUGGAGUCAUUGGUGGUGUAGUUGGUGCAAUCAUUGUCAUUGGGAUUUUGGCCUACUGCUGCUGCUGCCGGGGCGACAAGGACUACGAGAUGACUGAGCCAGAAGAGAGUGAGAAGGAGCCUGUCAGGAUUCGGGGACCAGCUGAAGAAGAGGUGGAGGAGGAGGAGGAAUAUCGGACAAGAAGCAGGCCACAGAUGCCACCCACCAACACACCCCGGCUAGAUAUUUGAGGCAUAGUCACUCCCAGAAUAGGAAAGGCAAGGAAGAGGGGACUGAUUUAAGAAACAUUGUUUACUCCCGACUGCUCUGAUCUCUGGUGUAGCUUAGACUGCGAGCUUCCAGGGUCUGGAGUCCAUUUCUCUAAAUCCUCCUGGGAAGUUUAGGCACCACUCUAAAUAAAUAAGUAAAUAAGACACUAUGUGGAACCAAAACUUAUUUCCCAGCACUAGAACCCCUGACUCACCCACUGUAACCCACCUUUUUGCAGAAGGGGCCAUGUCAGGUUUAUUUGGAGAGCAACGGGUAAAUCCCUCAAUGCAAAUUACUCUGUAUCAUCAGAUCCAUGGAAGAUUUCAGCUUCAUUAAUUGGGGCUCACUGGGAAAGGGCAGACUGGUUAACUUGGGUACUCUGGUAAAUGCCACAGGUUUCAGCCAAUAGCAUGCACUGUAUUAGGCCACCGGGCACAAGCACAGUGGCAUUACCCAGUAUCAGAUUGUUUUAACUUUAAUUUGAUUUUGAGAAGCAGGCUAGUUUAGAAAAUGUCAGGUUUCUUCUUAAGCUUUCACUAAACGGGGCUUUUGUAUAUAAUCAAAAAUAUGUAACAAAAAUAUAGAACAUGAUUGCAGCUGAUCGUCAGGAGCCUCCGCUAGGAACAGCUAUUGCAUUGGUACUAAUGGGAUGUCUAAAAACAGCAGAACUGACCAUUUGAUCUUACUUUUUGUACUUGCAAAGCUUUUUGGUACUGUAUAGGCAUUGUCUGCAGCAGCUGGACUCUAAUCCAUAAUUGGCAGCUGGGAGGUCUAACAGCCAAUUCUUCACCACCUCACUCCAUUUGCCUCUGCACAGAACAGACCUGUUCCCUCCCAAAGGGAUUCUAACUGUGCAUUUUCAUGUCCCAUCCCAGAGUCCUCUAUCCUCUACUUACUCCCCCACCCCAGCAACAGAAGGGGCAGACAGUGGACCGUCUUCCCUUCACACAUGUAGUCGUCAGGGGAAGGGAGAAAACAUGGCAGUUAGUAUCAGAGGGGUAGCCAUGUUAGUCUGCAUCCACAAAACCAACGAGGAGCCCGGUGGCACCUUAAAGGCUAACAGAUUUAUUUGGGCAUAAGCUUUCGUGGGUAAAAAACCCACUUCUUCAGAUGCAUAUGGGUUUUUUACCCAUGAAAGCUUAUGCCCAAAUAAAUCGGUUAGUCUUUAAGGUGCCACCGGACUCCUCGUGGUUAACAUGGCAGUUGGAUCUUUUCACAGAGAAGGCUAGAAGAAAAAUAUUCUAAUUUUUAUUCUAGUGCUGCUUGAAGGAAGUAAAGUACAGAUCAAUGCACUCAGCACAGAGUAUCAGUGUCCCAUACUAUACUCAAAACUGUCACACAUUCCUUCUCCCACCAGCAGGUUAGGGACUACCCUCAAACUGGCAUUUGCAAGUCCCAAAAAGAUAGCUCUUCGUUUCCCCAUCACUGUUCUCCUGUCUCCUGCUUAUGACACAAGUGAUAGUCUCGUAUUUUCCAAAAGGCUUUUACAAUAUUAAUUUUUGUAUUGAGCUAGUUAAAUUCUGUUUUUAAAAAAAUCUGAUACAAAUGUUUUUUUUAUUGACACAGUGUUAUCCCUUUAAUAUUGUAUUGUUCCUCUGCCUUCAGUGACUUUGCAGAACUCACAACAGCUGCUCAAGGAAACGUAGCCACUGGUAAAAGAACAAUCAUCUAAAAAAUAAGAGAAGGCACAUCAGAACAACACUGAAAGUCUCCCAAUUUUUUCUAACAUUUGAAUAUUGUACAGCAUCUGGGUCCUAAAUCAUGUAAAUCAGAAUAGGGCCUUUCUUUUGACAUUUAUUUUAUAUCUGAUACUCAGCAGAAAUUUACAAUUUACUCUUUGCAAUUAUUGGAUCGUAAGUGUACCUACUACAGCUGUUUUCAAAAUAUGUACAAAACCACCUCCUUGCACUGAAGAAGUAAAAGUCUAACUCAGAAAUGUUCAGUUCAGAUGCAUGACAGCCAGAGACAUCAGACAUGGGCAUAAUAUAGGAAGGCUUCACUUAAAAGUGGGUUUUAAAGGAGAGAAUUGCAGAAAGGGUGUUGCACACAGGAACUGGGAAACCAUUCCAAGCACAAGGUGCAUAAAAAGGCAUGAAGCUGAGAAGAGAUGCCAAAAGUGUUUUAGGAUACAGAGGCACGUAGAAAGAAGAGGUGGCUUAAGAAGAAAGAGGAGCAGAACUAUAGGUGAGACAGAGUUACAAAGAACCUACAAGGUCAAGAGAAAGUAUCUGAAUUUGAUGCAGUGGGCCAGGAAGCCAAUGAAGGAACUAAAGAAGGAAAACUACAGCAGUAGCAUUUUGCAUACAGUUACAAUAGUCAAACAAUGACCAAAGCUCGCAGCAAUGAUUUAGCAGUAGAGGGCAGAAUCUGGAGGCCACAUUUUAGGGAUAUUGGGGGGAGGGGAGUAGCAACAGGAUCCAGUGAGUCUGGAUGGAGCAAGGCACAAGCAAGGGGAGAAAAAGGAGUUGAAGGCAAAGCUGUGAGGCUGACGGACUGGCUGUAAUGGUUUGAACUGUUAUAUUAAACUGCAGUUUUCCUUUAAGUGAAUUUGCCAUUGUAAUGUUUCUGUUCAUGGGCAACAACUGUUUACAACUGCCUUUUCAACAAUAAA